rnacentral:rRNA from 1 species
AUCUAUGGCCAUGCCACCCUGAACGUGCCCUUGUCUGAUUUUGGAAGCUAAGUAGGGCUGGGCCUGGUUAGUACUUGGAUGCGAGACCACCUAGGAAUACCAGGGGUGCUGUAGGCA